rnacentral:rRNA from 1 species
AUUGAACGCUGGCGGCAGGCUUAACACAUGCAAGUCGAGCGGGGAAGGGUAGCUUGCUACCUAACCUAGCGGCGGACGGGUGAGUAAUGCUUAGGAAUCUGCCUAUUAGUGGGGGACAACAUCUCGAAAGGGAUGCUAAUACCGCAUACGUCCUACGGGAGAAAGCAGGGGACCUUCGGGCCUUGCGCUAAUAGAUGAGCCUAAGUCGGAUUAGCUAGUUGGUGGGGUAAAGGCCUACCAAGGCGACGAUCUGUAGCGGGUCUGAGAGGAUGAUCCGCCACACUGGGACUGAGACACGGCCCAGACUCCUACGGGAGGCAGCAGUGGGGAAUAUGGGGCAAUGGGGGGAACCCUGAUCCAGCCAUGCCGCGUGUGUGAAGAAGGCCUUUUGGUUGUAAAGCACUUUAAGCGAGGAGGAGGCUACUGGUAUUAAUACUACCGGAUAGUGGACGUUACUCGCAGAAUAAGCACCGGCUAACUCUGUGCCAGCCGCCGCGGUAAUAC